UACAGAGGCCCCGAGCGUUAUCCGGAAUUAUUGGGCGUAAAGGGUGCGUAGGUGGCAUUGUUAGUCGUUUGUUAAAGCCCGGGGCUCAACCUCGGAAUCGCGAACGAAACGGCAAUGCUUGAGUAGGGAAGAGGUAAGCGGAACUCAUGGUGUAGGGGUGAAAUCCGUUGAUAUCAUGGGGAACACCAAAAGCGAAGGCAGCUUACUGGUCCCUAACUGACAUUGAAGCACGAAAGCGUGGGUAGCGAAUGGG
rnacentral:rRNA from 1 species